rnacentral:rRNA from 1 species
AGUGAACGCUGGCGGUAGGCCUAACACAUGCAAGUCGAACGGCAGCACAGUAAGAGCUUGCUCUUACGGGUGGCGAGUGGCGGACGGGUGAGGAAUACAUCGGAAUCUACUUUUUCGUGGGGGAUAACGUAGGGAAACUUACGCUAAUACCGCAUACGACCUACGGGAGAAAGCAGGGGAUCUUCGGACCUUGCGCGAUUGAAUGAGCCGAUGUCGGAUUAGCUAGUUGGCGGGGUAAAGGCCCACCAAGGCGACGAUCCGUAGCUGGUCUGAGAGGAUGAUCAGCCACACUGGAACUGAGACACGGUCCAGACUCCUACGGGAGGCAGCAGUGGGGAAUAUUGGACAAUGGGCGCAAGCCUGAUCCAGCCAUACCGCGUGGGUGAAGAAGGCCUUCGGGUUGUAAAGCCCUUUUGUUGGGAAAGAAAAGCAGCAGGUUAAUACCCCGCUGUUCUGACGGUACCCAAAGAAUAAGCACCGGCUAACUUCGUG